GUGAUGUAUGAAAAAAGAGAAGCUUCACAUCCUCCUUGAUAAGAAUGCAGGAGGUCCCUGUGACCUGCAUGAGAUGCUGCUUAUUUCAUGACAUCCGACCUGUUUUU
rnacentral:ncRNA from 1 species